CAAGACCUGCACUUUUGGAGCGGCCGAUGUCUGAUUAGCUAGUUGGUGGGGUAAUGGCCUACCAAAGCUUCGAUCAGUAGCUGGUCUGAGAGGACGGCCAGCCACACUGGGACUGAGACACGGCCCAGACUCCUACGGGAGGCAGCAGUGGGGAAUUUUGGACAAUGGGCGCAAGCCUGAUCCAGCCAUGCCGCGUGAGUGAAGAAGGCCUUCGGGUUGUAAAGCUCUUUCAGCCGGGAAGAAAAGGUUGCGACUAAUAAUCGCAAUUCAUGACGGUACCGAGAGAAGAAGCACCGGCUAACUACGUGCCAGCAGCCGCGGUAAUACGUAGGGUGCGAGCGUUAAUCGGAAUUACUGGGCGUAAAGGGUGCGCAGGCGGUUUUGUAAGUCAGAUGUGAAAUCCCCGGGCUUAACCUGGGAACU
rnacentral:rRNA from 1 species